rnacentral:rRNA from 1 species
GGAGGGCGCAAGCGUUAAUCGGAAUUACUGGGCGUAAAGCGCGCGUAGGCGGUUUGGUCAGUCGGAUGUGAAAGCCCUGGGCUUAACCUGGGAAUGGCAUUCGAUACUGCCUGACUAGAGUAUGGUAGAGGGAAGUGGAAUUUCCGGUGUAGCGGUGAAAUGCGUAGAUAUCGGAAGGAACACCAGUGGCGAAGGCGACUUCCUGGGCCAAUACUGACGCUGAGGUGCGAAAGCGUGGGGAGCAAACAGGGAUUAGAUACCCUGGUAGUCCACGCCGUAAACGAUGAGAACUAGAUGUCGGGAGGGUUGCCUUUCGGUGUCGCAGCUAACGCGUUAAGUUCUCCGCCUGGGGGAUACGCCGGCAACGGUA